rnacentral:rRNA from 1 species
UACGGAGGGUGCGAGCGUUGUCCGGAAUCAUUGGGCGUAAAGGGCGCGUAGGUGGCGGGACAAGCGUGCGGUGAAAGCCUGGGGCUCAACCCCGGGUCGGCCGUGCGAACUGUUUUGCUUGAGCACUGUAGAGGCAGGCGGAAUUCCGGGUGUAGCGGUGGAAUGCGUAGAGAUCAGGAAGAACAUCGGUGGCGAAGGCGCUCUGCUGGACCAUAACUGACACUCAGGGACGAAAGCUAGGGGAGCGAAUGGG